UGAAAUUCUUUUCUUUAAUUUUUUGAGUUUUGCUCUGAAAUUGUUUUCCUCGAGCCAAGCCUCUGCUCGAGUUUCCUUUGUGCUGGUUUUUUGUUGUCAUUGAUGAUACCUUCACCAGUAUUAUCCAAGGGUUAGUAAUCUUGUGAGUAUAUUUUUUCUUGUCUACCAUAGUUCUAUAAUGUACAUCUUUCCACAUUUGUACAUAGUACGAGUUUUCAACUAGCCAUCAAUGGAUUCUAGUAGACACCCAACCACCAUAAAGAAGUUGGUGAAGUUCCUAGAAACGAAGAGAAACUUUUUAGUGUAUAGAAGAAAAAGAUUAUAUUGAGAUCCAUGAGAAGAUUUGUUGUCAUGGAAACCGGAGAAAAAUAUAUUAUAAAGUCACAGUUGGAUACCUAAAAGUAGGAAAAACAUUCUUUUAUUGAAAAGUGGUGAACAAGACACAGAAAGAAAACAAAACAAAUAGUAUAAAAUAUGAACUUGUUAAUUGCGAUGAUGACAAGAAGCAAAGAGUCCAGAAGAACAAACAUAAUCAAUACAUGAGAUGAUCCUAAUAAUGCAGCUAAUAACAAAUCAUGAAAUAAUCAAGAAUCCAAUGGAAAUCUUUGUGAGACCCCAAAACUUGUGAACACUAGACAAAGAGUGACCAGUCUUUGGCCAAUAGGAUGAAUCUUCAUGCACUAUCUACACAAACAUAAAUAGAAUGUACAAAAUACCAUGUGCGUAUGAUACACAAAAGGUGGGACAAGAGUCAAAGACAAUGAGAGACUAGAGAACACAUAAUUCAAAAGGACUUGAUAUAAUUCUAAUGGACUGACUCAGAAUUCUCUACACCUAGAACCAAAUAGAAAGAUGUACACUUUCUUCCCAGUAAACAUUUAAAGCACAGAACAGAUCAUCAUGUUUGGUUUCAGAUACAAAUUGGCCACACGAAACAAAAAAGGAAUCAAAACACCUUAAUGAAUAAAACAAAGAAGAAACACCAAAGCAGACAAUAACACAUGUGGAAAAGAAAUCUAAUGGAACCAAACCUCAUUGAUUAACUCUUGGGGUCCAUUUUCAUCUUCUUGUAUACCACAAAUCUGAACCCCAACAAUACUCUUCAAAUCUGAGUCACACUUUCCUGAAGAAACACAUAGCAGAUAUAAGCUGAGAGGCACAGAAUGUAUUAAUCAUUAUGAGAAUGCUACUCCAUCACAAUCAGCGAUUAAUUGAAUCAGUAUAGCUGAAAAUGAACAUGUUAUGAUGUAAUGUGCCGCAUACCUUCUCCUACAAUGCAAUGAGCGUAAGAUUUAGCAACAGAGAGAGACAGAACAAAUCCUGCGUACAAGAAAUUGAUUAAUAUAUUGGACUCUUCACCAGCGAACAGGCAUGGUUAUAAAAACUCCCACAUCAGCAAAACGUGAAAGACUGAGAUAUUACCGGAGUCCGGAGACGAAGUGAAGACUCGGACUCUGAGCUUUCUAGGGGAUGAUGGUGUGUGUGUGUGUGAAUGAAAAGGUACUCACAUAAAAUUUUAAAGGCCCAAUAAGUGGCCAAUAAUAGUAAUUUUAAAAUCAGUUUAGCCCAUACUUUUACGAGGGAGCUAAUGUUAUUGUGUAGAGUGAAAACAUAGAAACAAAAG
rnacentral:lncRNA from 1 species